rnacentral:rRNA from 1 species
UCUGAGUCUGGUCAAGCAUCCGGUGUAAGUCGGGGGGGCCAGGCUUGAUGGGGAAUGAGUUGGGGUAAAGGGGGGGGAGUCGGCCUGGCAAGUGGAAGGGUAAAUCCCUCGGCGUAACCGAGGAACUGCCCUCCAAACUGCGUGGCGUGAGUCCGGGAGAGGGGAGUGGAAGUCCCAGUGUAGCGGUGAAAUGCGUAGAUAUUGGGAGGAACACCAGUGGCGAAGGCGGCUCACUGGACCGGAACUGACGCUGAGGCGCGAAAGCGUGGGGAGCAAACGGGAUUAGAUACCCGUGUAGUC